UACAGAGGUCCCGAGCGUUGUUCGGAUUCACUGGGCGUAAAGGGUGCGUAGGUGGCGAGGUAAGUCGGAUGUGAAAGCUCGGAGCUCAACUCCGAAAUGGCAUUGGAAACUACCUUGCUCGAGGGUUGGAGGGGGGGCUGGAAUACUUGGUGUAGCAGUGAAAUGCGUAGAUAUCAAGUGGAACACCAGUGGCGAAGGCGAGUCCCUGGACAACUCCUGACACUGAGGCACGAAAGCUAGGGGAGCAAACAGG
rnacentral:rRNA from 1 species